GGGGCUGUAGCUCAGUUGGGAGAGCGACAGGCUGGCAGUCUGUAGGUCAGGGGUUCGAUCCCCCUCAGCUGCACCA
rnacentral:tRNA from 1 species